rnacentral:rRNA from 1 species
AGAGUUUGAUCCUGGCUCAGGAUGAACGCUAGCGGCAGGCCUAAUACAUGCAAGUCGAGGGGCAGCAGGGAUAGCAAUAUUCGCUGGCGACCGGCGCACGGGUGCGUAACGCGUAUGCAACUUACCUUCAACUGGAAGAUAGCCCCUCGAAAGAGGGAUUAAUACUCCAUAGUAUUACGAAACGGCAUCGUUUUGUAAUUAAAGCUCCGGCGGUUGAAGAUAGGCAUGCGUGACAUUAGCUAGUUGGUGAGGUAAUGGCUCACCAAGGCUACGAUGUCUAGGGGAUCUGAGAGGAUUAACCCCCACACUGGUACUGAGACACGGACCAGACUCCUACGGGAGGCAGCAGUAAGGAAUAUUGGUCAAUGGAGGCAACUCUGAACCAGCCAUGCCGCGUGAAGGAUGAAGGCGCUAUGCGUCGUAAACUUCUUUUAUAUGGGAAAAAACCUCUGAACGUGUUCGGAGCUGAUGGUACCAUAAGAAUAAGGAUCGGCUAACUCCGUGCCAGCAGCCGCGGUAAUACGGAGGAUCCAAGCGUUAUCCGGAUUCAUUGGGUUUAAAGGGUGCGUAGGCGGCUUGUUAAGUCAGCGGUGAAAUCUCAGGGCUUAACCCUGAAACUGCCAUUGAUACUGACGAGCUUGAGUACACUUGAAGUGGGCGGAAUGUGUCGUGUAGCGGUGAAAUGCUUAGAUAUGACACAGAACACCGAUUGCGAAGGCAGCUCACUAAAUUGUCACUGACGCUGAGGCACGAAAGCGUGGGGAUCAAACAGGAUUAGAUACCCUGGUAGUCCACGCUGUAAACGUUGAUAACUCGAUGUGUGCGAUAUACAGUACGCGUCUAAGCGAAAGCAUUAAGUUAUCCACCUGGGGAGUACGACCGCAAGGUUGAAACUCAAAGGAAUUGACGGGGGCCCGCACAAGCGGAGGAGCAUGUGGUUUAAUUCGAUGAUACGCGAGGAACCUUACCUGGGCUUGAAAGUCAGUGACCGUUCCUGAAAGGGAAUUUUCCGCAAGGACACGAAACUAGGUGCUGCAUGGCUGUCGUCAGCUCGUGCCGUGAGGUGUUGGGUUAAGUCCCGCAACGAGCGCAACCCCUAUCUUUAGUUGCCAUCAGGUUAUGCUGGGGACUCUAAAGAAACUGCCCGCGCAAGCGGUGAGGAAGGUGGGGAUGACGUCAAGUCAGCACGGCCCUUACGUCCAGGGCUACACACGUGCUACAAUGGUCACUACAGAGGGUUGCUACACCGCGAGGUGAUGCUAAUCUCCAAAGGUGAUCUCAGUUCGGAUUGGAGUCUGCAACUCGACUCCAUGAAGCUGGAUUCGCUAGUAAUCGGAUAUCAGCAAUGAUCCGGUGAAUACGUUCCCGGGCCUUGUACACACCGCCCGUCAAACAAUGGAAGCUGAGGGUACCUAAAGUCCAUCACCGCAAGGAGUGGCCUAGGGUAAAACUGGUAACUGGUGUUAAGUCGUAACAAGGUA